rnacentral:rRNA from 1 species
GACGAACCGUGCGAACGUUGUUCGGAAUAACUGGGCUUAAAGGGAGCGUAGGCGGGCUAUCAAGUCUGGGGUGAAAUGCCGCGGCUCAACCGUGGAACUGCCUCAGAUACUGACGGCCUCGAGGGGGAUAGGGGCAUGCGGAACUGUAGGUGGAGCGGUGAAAUGCGUUGAUAUCUACAGGAACUCCGGUGGCGAAAGCGGCGUGCUGGAUCCCUUCUGACGCUGAGGCUCGAAAGCCAGGGGAGCAAACGGG